GCCCAAAUACUAUAUUUCGUAGCC
rnacentral:siRNA from 1 species